rnacentral:lncRNA from 1 species
CUGAUUCUGGUCCAUCCAUGGAUGGUUUAAUAACUGUAAAGAACAAAAUAUUAUAGAACAGAGUAAAAGCUAAGAGAAGAAAAGCUGUAGUUGUGAGGAACGAUCCGGACAUCUCAGGUGGUUCUUCAAACAUGAACGGAUCCAUAGAUGAAGAACCUCCACUACUUGUUCUGACAACGUCCGAUGAUGUCUUGACGAAGGUUCUUGGUUUUUCAUCGGCUUGAGAUUCGAUUUGUUGGUCAAGCUGUUUCAGAGCUUCUCUAGCUUUAUCUCUAUCGAUUUCGAAUCUUUGUGAAGAAGAAGAAGAAGAAGGUGAGUCGUCUCUUUCAGUGGCUCUUACAAUACCCAUCAGAUGUUUUUUCUUCUUCUCCAUGAAUCCGCCAUGUACGUACCAAUUAAGAGACUGUAUCCCUAACACCACCAUUCUCUGUUUCUUUUCUUCUACGGCUCUCUGUGAUGAUGAUAAAUGUUGUGUGUGUGUGGACAUCGUUGUUGGCAAAAUUGUCAGAUACCACAGGCUUCUUAGUGGAUUUUUAUUGUCGUUUCAAAAUAAGAAUUUACAGGCCCAUUCGAAAGUAUUUUAAGGCUUCAAAUAAAAAGGUAUGAUAUUUAAUUAUUUAUACACUCCAUUUGAUCAAAUCCUAAGGUCAUACAAAAUAUUACAAAGUUGGUUGAAAUAAGCAACAAUAUAAAUCACAAUAACUUGAACCCUUGUUUUUGAUGCUCUUAGUUAAAAGCCUUAUUUGAUCACACAAUUUAGCAAUUCUAUAGAAUUUUAUAGAAUUACAAUAACUUGAAACAGCAGAAGAAACCAAUGAUGUGCACAUCAGGUGGUCUCACAUAUUCCGCACAACAAUCGAAAUGGAUAAAUCUCUUACAAAUCAAAAAUCUCAAAUUAAAAGUAUGUUUGAAUCACUCUCUCGCUCUCUCUCUCUCUCUCUUUCUUUUUAGAGGAAUGAUCUUUAAAAGUGGCCAAAAGUUUUGGAUUAUUUGGACAAGGUGAAUUGGUGAAGAACAUUGCCGGAAAUAUCAUAGUAGAUGAACUUAGCUUGAUAGUGAGUAAUGUGAAGAGACAUGAAACCUUGUCCGUCGUAAUAAAGUUUUAGUUCUUUUGGAUCCCACGGCAGAAUAACUCCUCUCCAUGCCUUUGAUCCUCCUCCACUUGUCAGAAAUUGAAUCCCACUUCACCAAUUCCAAACAAUGAAUUAUUUAGGUUUUGUCUGAAGUAGUAAACAUUUAAACUUAACUAAGACUUUGACUAAUCUAGAUUCAAAUAAAAUUUGUUUAAAACAAACUGACUUCGUGUUUUAUUUUUCAUUCAAGAAUGUAAACCAAUACGAUCCCUAUUGAUGAAAAGAAGAAGUAAAUAGAACUUUACCCGUCNNNNNNNNNNNNNNNNNNNNNNNNNNNNNNNNNNNNNNNNNNNNNNNNNNNNNNNNNNNNNNNNNNNNNUUUUUUGAAUAAAUUUAACAUUUAUUCAAAAAAAAAAAAAAAAAGUUCAUCUUCUUCCUCGUGUUCUCUCUCUAUCUCAAAACCCUAGCUGUUCCCUAUUCAAUUAAGCUAGGUUACUCUCAAUUCGAGUUUGAUUCACUGUGAAUUAGAAAACCAACGAUGAUGCAUUGUCCUGUCUCUUCGUCACUUAUCUUCCAACCGAGCAGUAUCCGAGCAACAUCGAAAGUCUACGCAAAGAAGAAACUCACUAAGAAUCUCCGUAACCCACGCCGCACCAAACUCCCUCCUGAGUUCGGUGUCAACUUGUUCCUAAGGAAACCCAUCACAGAACCGUUGUUACCACUACAAGAACAAGAAGAAGAAGAUCAAGAGCUUGAUGGUAGUCCUGAUGUCUGGGAACCAAACGAAAUCGAAGCGAUCUCAUCUCUUUUCCAGCAAAGAAUCCCUCAGAAACCAGAGAGAGUGGUUCGAGUCAGGCCUCUACCACUUCCUCAGCCUCACAAGCUACGACCUUUAGGCCUCCCAACUCCAAAGCCCAACAACAUCAAGAAACCACUCGUGUCAUCAUCAUCAAAAGACCCGAGCUUUCUCAUCAGUUUAGCUAGAGAGAUCAAACACUUACCUUCCCCUGAAGCAGACGUCUCUCUCGUCCUCAACAAAUGGUCCACCUUCCUCCGCAAAGGCUCCCUCUCCACCACCAUCCGCGAGCUCGGCCACAUGGGUUUGCCCGAGAGAGCCUUGCAGACCUACCGCUGGGCGGAGAAGCAUCCUCAUCUCUUUCCUGAUAACCGCAUCCUCGCGUCCACCAUCCAGGUCCUAGCCAAGCACCGCGAGCUGAAGCUCCUCAAGUUCGACAACACCUUGGCUAGCAAGAGCGUUAUCGAAGCCAUGAUCAAAGGCUGCAUCGAAGGCGGUUGGCUGAACCUAGCGAGGAAGCUUUUACUGAUAGCUAAAAGUAACAACCGUGUCCUCGACUCGAGUAUCUACGUUAAGAUGAUUCUAGAGAUCGCUAAAAACCCUGACAAGUACCAUCUCGUUGUUUCCCUCCUCGACGAGUUGAAAGAUAGAGAAGACUUGAAGCUGAGCCAGCAAGACUGCACGAGCGUGAUGAAGAUCUGCGUGAAACUUAAAAGGUUCGAGCUCGUUGAGUGUCUCUUUGAAUGGUACAAAGAAUCAAACAGAGAGCCGAGCGUUGUGAUGUACACUACCAUGAUACACAGCAGGUUUUCGGAAGAGAAGUAUAGAGAGGCGAUGAGUAUGGUUUGGGAGAUGGAGGAAUCGAACUGUCUUCUUGAUCUUCCUGCUUAUAGAGUGGUCAUUAGAUUAUUUGUGGCGUUGGAUGAUUUGGGAAGAGCAAUGAGAUACUACUCUAAGCUCAAGGAAGCUGGUUUUACUCCAACGUAUGAUGUUUUUCGCGAUAUGAUCAGCGUUUGUAUAGCUUCUGGGAGAUUGACAAAGUGUAGAGAGAUAUGUAAGGAGGUUGAAGAUGCUGGAUUGAGGUUGGAUGAAGAGACUUCGUUUAGGUUGUUUCAGCUCGAAAACCAAACAAUGUCUCUAUAAAGUAUUAAGACUUGUAAUAGAGUUUUGUGUUCUCUUUGAUUAGAGAUAUAACAUUUUUGUGAAUACAAGAAAUUCUAUGAUAAAACAUUUUGUGGUUUUACUGUUUGAUAGUGUUUUCAGGAAAAGACGAAAGUGGAAACUGGACAAGUUCAGAAUCAGACAUAGCUACUCUCUUGUCUGCUGGAACUGAUUCUGGUCCAUCCAUGGAUGGUUUAAUAACUGUAAAGAACAAAAUAUUAUAGAACAGAGUAAAAGCUAAGAGAAGAAAAGCUGUAGUUGUGAGGAACGAUCCGGACAUCUCAGGUGGUUCUUCAAACAUGAACGGAUCCAUAGAUGAAGAACCUCCACUACUUGUUCUGACAACGUCCGAUGAUGUCUUGACGAAGGUUCUUGGUUUUUCAUCGGCUUGAGAUUCGAUUUGUUGGUCAAGCUGUUUCAGAGCUUCUCUAGCUUUAUCUCUAUCGAUUUCGAAUCUUUGUGAAGAAGAAGAAGAAGAAGGUGAGUCGUCUCUUUCAGUGGCUCUUACAAUACCCAUCAGAUGUUUUUUCUUCUUCUCCAUGAAUCCGCCAUGUACGUACCAAUUAAGAGACUGUAUCCCUAACAC